CCCAACCUGAACUGGGAAUCCAGGAGGCAAAUUGUAGUCUCUAGGAUAUUGGAAUAACAAGGGUGUCAGCACUUUCCUUCAACCUUCAAGGACAGACUGAGGAUCAGGCAAGGCUUCAAUCACACCAGAAGAUACAAGUAAAGAAAGGCAGGGGCCCAUCCAUAAGAAUUGUAUAGUCGUGGUAAAGGUUAGGGAGACUGGAGAUUGUGGGUCUGCAUGUACUUGGGGCCUAUACUCGGUAACUCAUACUGGACACAGCUCUGAGUAUACUUUCUACUGUAGUUAAGGAUGGCUGGGAUAUGGAUGAAGCUGAACCUGAAGAGUGAAUUCCUCUGUGUUUGAAACCAAAAAGACAGAGAAAUGCAGGAGCAGACAUUGUUCCUGCCUGUGACUAACUUUAUGACUUUAUAAGAGAAAGUGAUCUCAGAGGCGUUACUUACCUCAGUAAAAUGAAGGUAAUAACACUUAAACUACUUCAAACCAGAGUCUCGGAUCAGGAAAAUUUUGCCAUCUCUUCCAGAAAUAAGACACACAACUGUAAGAUUUCAUUGUUUUUCAGUAAGUUAAAUGUUUGCCAAGAAAGAAACUGUUGACUCUUCUAAUGAUGACAGUUAAAAUCUCAUACUCAAAGUAGGAGGAGGAGCAUUUUCAAAUAAAUCUAUAUUUUCAUAGACUCAGGAGUGUCACAGAGAACAGUAAGCUGUGCAUAAAGAUCAUGACAUGAGUUUGGAAGAACAGUAGAAUUUGGAUGGACCCAAAGACAAAGAUAAGAUAUUACUAUGGAGAGACUCCACUCUAAAGCACUAAUGUUGGACUUAAUCACGUGGUAAUUGCUGUUAAACAAGCACUCCUUGAGAGACAACAUCUCUCUUAUGAACAUCCCUUCAGAUGAACAAAACCAUCUCCUCCCCUCUUCUGAGGGAUUUGAAAAACAAAGCUUGCCUGUCUAUCUAAAGCAUAUUCUUCAGCUGUUGAGAAGAUUCAGAUGGA